GCGUGGUGCGAAACUGCAGAAACAGGCGAUGGGUUCUGAGGCCUGUUCGUCAAAAUUGGUGGCCGUCGACCAGAUAACAGCUCUAUUAACAGCCCUCGCCUACUCGCUUCUUGUUCUUACGCAGAAAACACGGCAAGGACUGAGCGCGUCGAUCCAGCUAUAAUGUUUCCAAUUACGUGUAUCUUCUGAAAUUUGAUUUCAGGAAAAUAACUACAGUAUCAAAGAUCAAUUGACGAGGUGCUUCUGCACGCACAGUUAUGCUCUUAUGACCGCGACUAUCCAGCUGAGAUAUUUGGCGAAAUUUUUAAAAGGAUCAGCUUUGACGUGUGAUUUAGGAGAAGAAACGAUAUAUAAAUUUAAUUUAAAAAGGAUCAAAAAUAAAAUUAGGGAGUGUGCUUUGUCUGAAAACGUGAAAAAAAGAAAAAAAAAUUUCGUUUUACCCGAAAAUGCAAUUAGUAAUUGCGUUUUCGGUUAAAAGGCAAUUUUUUCUUUUGCGUUUUUCAUUUUAACUUAUUUCUUAGCUGUGUUUUAUGUG